rnacentral:pre_miRNA from 1 species
UUUUGAUGAUGAUGAUGAUGACGGUGAUAAUGGUGAUGAAGAGUGAUGAUGAAGAUCAUGAUCGUUGUCAUCAUCGUCAUCAUCGUCAUCACCAUCUUCU